CUGAAGAGUCCCAUAACAGGACGAAACGGCCGUC
rnacentral:hammerhead_ribozyme from 1 species